AUGUUUGGGUUCUGGUGCCCGUACAGCGCGGACGGCAGCGCGGCCCCGCUCCCGCCCCCAGCUCCCGUCCCAGUCCCGUCCCCGCUCCCGGUCCUGGCCCCGGCCCCGACGGGCUCCCACGACGGCUCCGCAGUCGCUGCUCGCCUCCGGGCCCUGCUGGCCCCGCAACCGCCGCCCGCUCCGAGGCGCCCGGACACGGCCCCCGGAGCCCCCCCGCGAUGCCCGGGACGGAGCCCGGCGGGGGGGUCCCGGCGCCGCCGCCCCCCGGUCCCUCUUUACGCCGCCCGGCGCUGCGACCCAGCGGCCCUGGGGGCGUCCGGGGGGAGCCCUGGGGAGCAGGGGGGCUGCGGUCAGCCCCUCCGCUGCGGCUCCGCAGCCCUCCGGUCCUCCCCCGCCGCCCUACCGGGCUCUGCCAUCCGCUUCCCCAUGAGCCCCACGAAGAAGUCGUGCAUGUCCCCUGCGGAGAGAGCCCGGCGUCAGCUCCCACCGGGCCCGGCCCCGCUCCGUGCCCGCACCGGGGCCCCCCCUCGGCCGCCCCUGUGGGGCUGGCACCGUCCGGGAGCGGAGCGGAGCGGACUUACGCUUCUGGGAAGACGCCAGCGCCGGGGGACCUGGAAGAGAAGCGGGAGGCUGAGCGCUGCCGUCGGGGUGGGGGCCGGGACCGGGGCCGGGACCGGGAGCGCCCCCCCGGCUCUCACCGGCGUCCUCCUCCCGCAGCAGCUGCAGCAGGGCGGCGAAGGCGGCUCCGGGGCCGCCGCGGGCUCUCCAGGGCAGCACCGGGAGCAGCGGCUCGGGGCCGGGGCCGCUCUGCGGGGAAGCGGGGGGGUGAGCGCGGGCGGGGGCCGCCCGGUGCCUCCCCGACGGCCGCCCCGACGGCUCGGCCCUACCUGGGAGCGGAGCGCGGGGCCCGGCGGCGGGGCGGCGGCGAAGCGGGCGAGGGCGAGCGGCAGGGCCAGGGCGAGCAGGGCGAGCACCGCGCGGCUCCGCAUCCUCGCCGGGGUGGGCGACCUGCGGGAGGGGUCAGCAGCGGCCGGGGUCGCCCCUCGGCCCCCUGGACGGCGCGGACCGGGGCAAGGUUUUGGGAGGGGAAAGCAGCGGAACGAGAGAUGGGGGCCCGGGGGCAGCCGGCGUUGCCAGAGCAGUCGAGCAAACGCCCCCCAGCCCUUUCCAGCUGGGGGGGCUGCGGCACGGUGGGGGCAUGAAGAAAAACGGGGAGGGGGGGCAAGGGGGACGCGGUGGGGGGCUGCAGUGCAAGAGAUGUACUGCAGAGGUGCUGGGGGGCGGGACGGAGAGCAUAGCUGCACUGCAGAGCUGGGGGUCCUGUGCCAGGACUCGUGCCCAUUGUGCCGGGUUUGUGCCGCCACACGCCAGCUGGGGUGGUGGAAACGCGUGCAGGAUGGAGCACAGACACGCAGAGAUCACAGGCACCCACUCAGCCUUGCACACGUUCACAGACACCCACAGCAACACACACACCCUCCCCCCAGGAAGGUCCCAGCCCCAGGCUUCCAGCGACCCCCCAAGCCCUCCCCACCUUCCUUCACCCCUCUCUCCUCUCAGCCCAGCUCUUGCUGCAGCUUCCAGCUCCCUUUCACCUUCCCCCAGCCCACGCUGGGCAAGGAGCGGAGGCAGUGGCCUCUCCAGGAGACCCCAUGGUACCUGGCACGGCUUUCGGGGACCUGCUCAGCCCUCAGCUGCAGUGCGGGCAGCGCGUCCCUCGCCUCUGGUGGCUGCGGAGCGGCAAGAGGCAGUGGGCAGCGGCCGCAGGCUGUGCCGACGGCUCUCGGGCACGCUCAGCCUGGAGGUGAAGCACCCCAGCGCUGUCAGCCGCGCGGAGCUAAAUAA
rnacentral:lncRNA from 1 species